rnacentral:rRNA from 1 species
UACGAAGGGGGCUAGCGUUGCUCGGAAUCACUGGGCGUAAAGGGUGCGUAGGCGGGUCUUUAAGUCAGGGGUGAAAUCCUGGAGCUCAACUCCAGAACUGCCUUUGAUACUGAGGGUCUUGAGUCCGGGAGAGGUGAGUGGAACUGCGAGUGUAGAGGUGAAAUUCGUAGAUAUUCGCAAGAACACCAGUGGCGAAGGCGGCUCACUGGCCCGGUACUGACGCUGAGGCACGAAAGCGUGGGGAGCAAACCGG